AAGCCUAUCCUAGCCCACCCAUCUCCCCAAUAACCACCAAAAAACCCCCAACAAUACUCAACUAAAACAUUCUACACCUUAGUAUAGGCGAUAGAAAAGGAACACCUGGCGCGAUAGAAAAAACGUACCGUAAGGGAUUGAUGAAAUAACAAUGAAACCACAAGCACUAAACAGCAAAGAUUAACCCUUGUACCUUUUGCAUCAUGAUUUAGCAAGAACAACCAGGCAAAACGAAUUUAAGCCUGCCACCCCGAAACCCAAGCGAGCUACUUACAGGCAGCCAUCCCAGGGCGAACCCGUCUCUGUCGCAAAAGAGUGGGAAGACCUGUUAGUAGAGGUGAAAAGCCAAUCGAGCUGGGUGAUAGCUGGUUGCCUGUGAAAAGAAUUUUAGUUCGCCCUUAACUCCACUCUACGGAUAUAAACAACCCACAUGAAGAGAGUUAAGAGUAAUUUAGAGGAGGUACAGCCCCUCUAAAAAAGGACACAACCUCCUAUAGCGGAUAACUAACCACCUUAACUAAAUGUGGGCCCUAAAGCAGCCACCAAUAAUGAGUGCGUCAAAGCUCUAAACAAAAAAUCCCCAAACAACAUGAAUCCCUACCAAUUAACAGGCCAAUCUAUAACAAUAGAAGAAUUAAUGCUAAAAUAAGUAACCUAGGGCCACUCCCUCUAAAGCACAAGCUUACAUCCGCACAUUAUUAACAGGAAUUAAUAUCUAAACUCAAACAAGCCCUUAUAUUUACCCCCACUGUUAACCCAACCCAGGAGUGCUUACUAGAAAGAUUAAAAUCUGUAGAAGGAACUAGGCAAAUCCAGGACCCGACUGUUUACCAAAAACAUAGCCUUCAGCCAACCAAGUAUUGAAGGUGACGCCUGCCCAGUGACAUUAGGUUCAACGGCCGCGGUAUCCUAACCGUGCGAAGGUAGCACAAUCAAUUGUCUCAUAAAUAGGGACUUGUAUGAAUGGCUAAACGAGGCCCUAACUGUCUCCUGCAGACAAUCAGUGAAAUUGAUCUCCUUGUGCAAAAGCAAGGAUAAUAUCGUAAGACGAGAAGACCCUGUGGAACUUAAAAAUCACUAGCCACCCCAAACAUCUCAAUCUCCCUACUAGGGCUGCAGAUUACCAUAAACCUGGCUAACAUUUUUUGGUUGGGGCGACCUUGGAGAAAAACCAAUCCUCCAAAAACAAGACCUUACCUCUUGAUCAAGAGCAACCACUCAACAUGCCAACAGUAACCAGACCCAAUACAAUUGAUUAAUGAACCAAGCUACCCCAGGGAUAACAGCGCAAUCCCCUCCAAGAGCCCAUAUCGACGAGGGGGCUUACGACCUCGAUGUUGGAUCAGGACAUCCUAGUGGUGCAGCCGCUACUAAGGGUUCGUUUGUUCAACGAUUAAUAGUCCUACGUGAUCUGAGUUCAGACCGGAGCAAUCCAGGUCGGUUUCUAUCUAUGAUAAACCUCUCCUAGUACGAAAGGACCGAAGAGGUGGGGCCUAUACAACAAGCACGCCCCCUCUUUAAAUAAUGUACCCAACUAAAUUAUAAAAAGAAUAACCAUUUAACCCAAAACAAGGGCAU